UGGGGAAUAUUGCACAAUGGGCGAAAGCCUGAUGCAGCGACGCCGCGUGAGGGAUGAAGGCCUUCGGGUUGUAAACCUCUUUCGCUCAUGGUCAAGCCGCAACUGUGGGUUGUGGUGAGGGUAGUGGGUAAAGAAGCACCGGCUAUCUACGUGCCAGCAGCCGCGGUAAUACGUAGGGUGCGAGCGUUGUCCGGAAUUAUUGGGCGUAAAGGGCUUGUAGGCGGUUUGUCGCGUCUGCCGUGAAAUCCUCUGGCUUAACUGGGGGCGUGCGGUGGGUACGGGCAGACUUGAGUGCGGUAGGGGAGACUGGAACUCCUGGUGUAGCGGUGGAAUGCGCAGAUAUCAGGAAGAACACCGGUGGCGAAGGCGGGUCUCUGGGCCGUUACUGACGCUGAGGAGCGAAAGCGUGGGGAGCGAACAGG
rnacentral:rRNA from 1 species